rnacentral:rRNA from 1 species
GCGAACGGGUGAGUAAUGUAUCGGAACGUGCCUAGUAGCGGGGGAUAACUACGCGAAAGCGUAGCUAAUACCAUACGCCCUUCGGGGAAAGCGGGGACCUUCGGGCCUCGCACUACCAGUAGCCGAUAUCGGAUUAGCUAGUUGGUGGGGUAACGGCUCACCGAGGCGACGAUCCGUAGCUGGUUUGAGAGGACGACCAGCCACACUGGGACUGAGACACGGCCCAGACUCCUACGGGGAGGGGGCAACGGUGGGGAAUUUUGGACAAUGGGGAAACCCUGAUCCAGCCAUCCCGCGUGUGCGAUGAAGGCCUUCAGGUUGUAAAGCACUUUUGGCAGGAAAGAAACGCUUGCAGGAUAAUACCCCGUGCAACUGACCAGUACCGCAGGGUAUCAGCACCGGCUAACUACGUGCCAGCAGCCGCGGUAAUACGUAGGGUGCAAGCGUUAAUCGGAAUUACUGGGCGUAAAGCGUGCGCAGGCGGUUCGGAAGAAGAUGUGAAAAUCCAGAAACUUACUUUGGAGGCUGCAUUUUCACUACCGACUAGAGUGUGUCAGAGGGAGGUGGAAUUCCGCGUGUAGCAGUGAAAUGCGUAGAUAUGCGGAGGAACACCGAUAGCGAAGGCAACCUCCUGGGAUAACACUGACGCUCAUGCACGAAAGCGUGGGGAGCAAACAGAGUUAGAUACCCUGGUAGUCCACGCCCUAAAGCAGUGUCAACUAGCUGUAGGGCCUUCGGGCCUUGGUAGCGCAACUAACGCGUGAAGUUGACCGCCUGGGGAGUACGGUCGCAAGAUUAAAACUCAAAGGAAUUGACGGGGACCCGCACAAGCGGUGGAUGAUGUGGAUUAAUUCGAUGCAACGCGAAAACCUUACCUACCCUUGACAUGUCUGAGUCGAAGAGAUUUGGGAGUGCUCGCAAGAGAACCGGAACACAGGUGCUGCAUGGCUGUCGUCAGCUCGUGUCAGAUGUUGGUUGAUGCAACGAGCGCAACCCUUGUCAUUGGAUUGCGAAGGGCACUCUAAUGAGACUGCCGACAAACCGGAGGAAGGUGGGGAUGACGUCAAGUCCUCAUGGCCCUUAUGGGUAGAACUUCACCCACGUCAUACAAUGGUCGGGACAGAGGGGGGUCGCCAACCCGCGAGGAGGAGCCAAUCCCAGAAACCCGAUCGUAGUCCGGAUCGCAGUCUGCAACUCGACUGCGUGAAGUCAGAAUCCGCUAAUGCGGAUGCUUCGCGGUGAAUACGUUCCCGGGUCUUGUACACACCGCCCGUCACACCAUGGGAGUGGGUUUACCAGAAGUAGUUAGCCUAACCGUAAAGGAGGGCAUUACCACGGUAGGAUUCAUGACUGGG